GCUUCUCUUGAGAGCGGCGGACGGGUGAGUAAUGCCUAGGAAUCUGCCUGGUAGUGGGGGAUAACGUUCGGAAACGGACGCUAAUACCGCAUACGUCCUACGGGAGAAAGCAGGGGACCUUCGGGCCUUGCGCUAUCAGAUGAGCCUAGGUCGGAUUAGCUAGUUGGUGAGGUAAUGGCUCACCAAGGCGACGAUCCGUAACUGGUCUGAGAGGAUGAUCAGUCACACUGGAACUGAGACACGGUCCAGACUCCUACGGGAGGCAGCAGUGGGGAAUAUUGGACAAUGGGCGAAAGCCUGAUCCAGCCAUGCCGCGUGUGUGAAGAAGGUCUUCGGAUUGUAAAGCACUUUAAGUUGGGAGGAAGGGCCAUUACCUAAUACGUGAUGGUUUUGACGUUACCGACAGAAUAAGCACCGGCUAACUCUGUGCCAGCAGCCGCGGUAAUACAGAGGGUGCAAGCGUUAAUCGGAAUUACUGGGCGUAAAGCGCGCGUAGGUGGUUUGUUAAGUUGGAUGUGAAAUCCCCGGGCUCAACCUGGGAACUGCAUUCAAAACUGACUGACUAGAGUAUGGUAGAGGGUGGUGGAAUUUCCUGUGUAGCGGUGAAAUGCGUAGAUAUAGGAAGGAACACCAGUGGCGAAGGCGACCACCUGGACUGAUACUGACACUGAGGUGCGAAAGCGUGGGGAGCAAACAGGAUUAGAUACCCUGGUAGUCCACGCCGUAAACGAUGUCAACUAGCCGUUGGGAGCCUUGAGCUCUUAGUGGCGCAGCUAACGCAUUAAGUUGACCGCCUGGGGAGUACGGCCGCAAGGUUAAAACUCAAAUGAAUUGACGGGGGCCCGCACAAGCGGUGG
rnacentral:rRNA from 1 species